rnacentral:ncRNA from 2 species
GCUCUCUCCGCGGGAGACACCGGUUCGGCCAUAUGGGGGUUGGAUCGGGGCCGAAGGCGCAACCGCCCCGGAAACGCUCAGGCACCAGGGACCGCGGGAGAGGC